UACUUAAUGAAUUUGAUAUCUAUUUGGGUUCAUUUAACGUAGCGUGGGGCUGACGAAACAAUUUGGAGUUUCAACUCGUACGUAGAUAUGUAUAAUUCAGUUCCUUGAGUCGUUUGUUCUCUGCUACCCUCUGAGACGUUGACUUUGCACUUAGGACUUGAACCUUUGAAUAUUUCUUUCUUGUUUUUGACCUUUCACCGAGACGAGGGAAGAAUGAGUAUCAUCUACAUAGGUAUUUCCUGCUAUCUACUUAUACAUAACGAAUUAGAUAGGUACCUAUUUUUCACUACAACGCGGAUAUCUUAGCCGUUAAAUUCUAGGUAUUCUUCGAACUCUUGCACUGCGAUAGGAAUCCAUCCGUCACGCCGAACUUCUCGUUAAGUUUAGUGCAUCGUAGCUCCGCGUCUCUGUAACAGUAGACAAAAAAAAUGUUAUCGACUGGGUUGUAUAAAAAUCAGCUAAUUUCGCGAUAAUUUUGGAACAAUCGCGUCGUCUCAGUUUACCUAGGUCAUUUAGUCUAGUCAGCUAUUGUUAUGAGUGAAGCUAUAUUGCAUUGGUAGGUGGUGUUUUUAAUGAAGCAUAGAAUUCCUGUUGUAAUCGUCUUUUUGCGCGAUAAUAGUACAUGGCGGAGGUCUAUCUUUUAUGGCGAUUUCAAACGCAGGAGAUGACUUAUGUUGUACUCUACGAGCGAGUAGGUAACUUACAAGAUAAAAAUCAUAGCCUAUGGUUUGAGUUAUUGAAAAAAAAAAGUUAGCGUACGAGUGUUGUUGAACUUAUCAAAUAUUUAUGGUUUUUCUGUCCGUUCCUCUGUUCACCUCGCAGUGGUUUUUUCCGUUUUGCAUGCGCACAGGUUGGAAGGCGAGAUAAAAUAAAUUUUAUGUCCUGGACGUUGUUGGUAUCGUUUGAUAACGCCCUCUAAUCAUCUUAUCGUCUUUAUGACCGUGGUAAUUGGUCGUCUGAAAUGAAAUAGGUAUAUCCUUGAAUACGAUUCUUCACAAAUGCAUUUUUCUUUUCUGGCCGUAUAUUAAAAUUCUGCGCGAGCAAUUUUUUUCCCCGAGGAAUUAGGUCUGUGGAUUGAAAUGCAUUGUUAAUCGCGAGAUAUAUGCCAAUGUAAAUUCACAAAGCGUGCAAUUACAUCUACGGAAUACCAUAUGGUAAAUUAGAAAAAAAAAAGGGGGGACCUUAGAAUAAAAUUUAUGUUAACGUAACGCUGCAAUAUGAUGUACCAUUUCCCUAUUGUAUAUAUAACCUACCCGGCGAAUGUAGUUUUCGCAUUUAGACACAACUGCAUAUAUGUACUACUCAUACGUUCGCUUGUGCAUGUAAAUUGUACGCCAACGAAUGACGGGCGUUAAUGGAAAGUGCAUCCCAUAAAUACGAGAAAAAAAUGUAACCGAGCGCAGUUCCAUUUCGAAUGAAUUUCCAAUUUAAGGCCUAAUAAACUGCGAAGUGAUACCUAGGUUAACGUUUUUAGUGUCAAAUAUCGAAUACUUUUAUGCCUAUUUGAAAUUAAUUAACGGUAUGACGUAUUUAUCGAGUUGAAUAAACACUACUGUAAUUUUUUGAAUUAUACGCGGUACCACUGAUUUUUUUAAUACAUUGUUGCCGGACAAAAUACUUAUUACAAAAAAUUCAAGGACGGCUAUUUGCGAAAAGAUGAAACUUUGUUGCAACGAGUCUCUUGAAAAUCGAUUGUGAAUGCACCGAAGAAAGGAAUUCUAUUGUGAAUUUUCCGCCGCAAUGCAUCGAACAACGGUGAUGGAAUUUUGAUGUGAGGUAGUAGGUUGUAGAGUACGAAAUGAUGGAUUUAUAAAACUAUACAACUUGCUAGCUUGCAUCAAUUUCUGCGAAUGUGAUCAUCUCCGAUUGAAAUCAUGUAAUGGGAUCCCGAAUCCGUCGCUCACAAAAAUAGGUAAAAUGUUGAAUUGUCUUCGGGAUCCAAUUUGCGGAUUGAUUCUUGAAGAUAGCGAUUCUCUAAUCAUAAUGAAAUACCUAUACAGACGACGAAAUUCAGAGCGAAGAUCAAACAGCCAUCUGCUAUGCCUAUCUGUAACAUAAAAGGGUUCAUUUCAAAGAAAGGAAACUUCAAGUUCAACCUCAAAACAUUCAAGUUAUUGCCCGAGAACUGGUGAUAAAUUUUAUUGAUAGCAUCUUUAUAGCAUUUGCGUUUCACCGAACAAUUCUCUGUGGCGUUGUGGCUUCUCAAUCCAACACAAACACCCAAAUCACAAGCAUGAAGCAAAUCAACUUCGGGUUCAAACUCAAGAUCAAGAAUUCGGAGGAACUGCCUGCAAAGUGCCAGAUUUGAAUGAGAUGAGAUGUACCUAUGCUGCAUUGUACUAAUAUGGACAGUAAUAUAAAAUAAUUAUAAUGGU